rnacentral:lncRNA from 1 species
UCCCCAGGAAUCCCCAGACUCCAUCCUCGAGGCCUUGUCGUGCUCCCCAGCAACGACCAAUGCUUUUGUCCGCCCCUCCCAACGAGCUACUUACUCAUGGCUGUCCCUGCGACCAACGAGGCAAGGAGCGGGGCAUCCACCCACGCCCCCAACUCUGUGCUUGGUGCGGAGAAGUGGCUGGAGCCACGACGGCCAGCAUCCCGUCCGCCUCCUGUCAGGAGGUAGGUGAAGGGGGCAGGAGAGAGGUGGAGAGGGACCGGCGGGGCCCGCUUGUAAGAGACCCUAACGAUUGGGCCCGCGUGUAAGUGGACGCGAUUUUCGCGUUUUGUGCCUCCCCACGAAGCAGGCGUAUUCCUAGGAAUGCACCUCCAACAUGGCCCUUCCCGCGCUUGGCCAAGCUACUGGCCGACCCAAUGCAUACGCGGCUAUUCUGUGCCCAGGGCGCUCCUUCGGCCGUUAGGUAACUCCUUUCUGGUUGUUUUCUUUUACAGAGAUCUUGUAAAAUCCAUAGAAAAAUAAUUCCAUGUCCAAAUGGCAUGAUUCAAAUUUCUAUAAUCUUCUAAAAAUCCCACUAUCAUUUGGCAUAACUUGCGUAAUUUUCAUUACAAUAUGUUUCCCUGUUCAAAUUCAAAGUCAAAUUUGAACCUUAUAAAGGCCCUUCUAAAAAUUCCCAGAACAUUCAUAUCAACUCCAAAUCGAGUGAUUCCAGUUUCUAGUUGCUCUAAAAA